GAUGAAGAACGCAGCAAAAUGCGAUAAGUAAUGUGAAUUGCAGAAUUCAGUGAAUCAUCGAAUCUUUGAACGCACAUUGCGCCCGCCAGUAUUCUGGCGGGCAUGCCUGUUCGAGCGUCAUUUCAACCCUCAAGCACAGCUUGGUGUUGGGACUCGCGUUAAUUCGCGUUCCCCAAAUUGAUUGGCGGUCACGUCGAGCUUCCAUAGCGUAGUAGUAAAACCCUCAUUACUGGUAAUCGUCGCGGCCACGCCGUUAAACCCCAACUUCUGAAUGUUGACCUCGGAUCAGGUAGGAAUACCCGCUGAACUUAAGCAUAUCAAUAAGCGGAGGA
rnacentral:misc_RNA from 1 species